rnacentral:rRNA from 1 species
UACGUAGGGUGCGAGCGUUAAUCGGAAUUACUGGGCGUAAAGCGUGCGCAGGCGGUUGUGCAAGACAGAUGUGAAAUCCCCGGGCUUAACCUGGGAACUGCAUUUGUGACUGCACGGCUAGAGUGUGUCAGAGGGGGGUAGAAUUCCACGUGUAGCAGUGAAAUGCGUAGAUAUCGAGAGGAACACCUGCGGCGAAGGCGGGUUGCUGGGCCGACACUGACGCUGAGGCGCGAAAGCCAGGGGAGCGAACGGG